AUGUGGCAAUCCGCACUUAUCAUCAGGCUACCUGCAGCUGCUGCAGUGGCCAUGAACCCCGUAUCCCCUCCCAAUCCCCCGAAACCUCUGUUAUAGCUGGAGUGGACCCAGUGGGAACCUCCCCGAACGGUUCCCUAGGGCACACAGUGCCCCCCUCCCCCAUAUCUUCAUAGCUGCCGGCCCAUCAUAGUGCGCGUUGCUUUACCCUGACUCACAGAGUCGUUAUAUACGCACCUCAGACAUGCUCGUGCCCCUCCUUCCAUGUCUGAGCCGGUGAAGGAGCAACGAUCUGCCUCGAUUCCGGCGAAUCGGGCAGCUUUUACCAGCCAGGGAGCGUCAUUCCUACUGAGUCAGCCGGUGAGAAGCCAAUCUCUACACGGAAGUUUGCUGGGCAGUUCGGUGUUAUUUCUGUGACUUAGUUGGUUGGUGUUUGAGCCAAUGAAGCUUGAUGGGCAUGGUCCAUUCCACUGCUCGAAGUGACGUCCAAUUCUCUAACACGCAUCAGUGCUGCCCUGAACACGGGCAUGCUGUAGUUUCGAGGCCGGAGACGAAGAUUGUCAAUCCGGUUCAUCGAGGGGCAUUGGUUGACGCGAAUUACUUAAUGUCUGGCAUUCGCUGAACAGUCACUGUGCUUGUUCUAGUGCGCCCGGUAUGAGUUUCCCAUGAUUAUUUUUGUGGGCAUGCUGUGUACGUUGGGCGUACAACACAUCCGUCCUGAAAAGGGGAGGGAUGGUUGUGGAGCCGAUUUCAUCGGCUAGGUUUGUGUGGCAAGGGUCUACAUGGCUCAGGUGCAUUGUGUGGCGUUCACGUUGCAGGUCGACCGGGGCGGGUCUCAAUUAUACCCGAAUGCAUGUAAGUGAGAGGGAUGUCUCUGAAAAAUCUGUCGAUCGGGCCCAAAAGCUGUAGACCAGUCAGCCAGUACCGAAUCUUCACCCCGUCCUGGUCCCCGUGCCGUGGGUAGAUUUCCGUAAUUUAUGAAUGACACCAAGAGGAGGCCGGCACGGUUCCGGUUCGGCGACCGAACGGCAAGCAAGAUGGACGGCGUGGCGCAGAAACCCCUAUAUCGAGAGAAGUCCAGUUCGACUGAAUAAACCGCAAGACGUCUCCAGCACACCGUGACCGACCUUUGCGAAUCCUCAACAAUCCAAGGAAACGGAGAGAUCACCCAAGGAGCCAAUGUUUGUGGUUCCCGCUGACGCAGCGUGCGGGUUCGUGUUUUCUGUCGAUUGUGUACCCGAAUCGUGUGUGUGCAAUCGACAAGGAGGUUUCUUAAUUUGUCAUGCACGUCUUAUUCAGCGAGAAUCGAACGGAGCAUGCUGCCAUUGUACUGCAUGGAUAUGUCCCCUUGACUGUGCGCGAUGAUGUGUUUGAGGGAUUGAAUUUGUGUAGGUUGGAAACAGUGUUCAGAUGUUGAGCGCAUUUAGUUCUGUAUUGUAUACAUCGUAUCAGUCUUCAAAUAGUACAGUAGUCUCCGAAACGCAAUCUUUUCCAGCACAUUAUGAGGUGCUACUUUUUGCUUUUUAUUUUGAUUUUUCUUUCAGUCCCGCAUUCUGAAUUCUUUUUACAGCAUAGGAACAUUGUCAUAUCAUAAGCUACAGUUUGUACUUGUCUAAAUGUUGUGGAAUGUGUGCUGCAAUGUGUUGUGGGUUUCUUUUACAAGUUAGAGUACAAUAGCGGAUGUGUAUUUUAUUAUUAUUUUCAUCAUUAUAUCAUUUUGUUUCGUUUGAGUUGU